rnacentral:rRNA from 1 species
GGAAGGCAGCAGGCGCGCAAAUUACCCAAUCCCGACACGGGGAGGUAGUGACAAUAAAUACUGAUACAGGGCUCUUUUGGGUCUUGUAAUUGGAAUGAGUACAAUUUAAACCUCUUAACGAGGAACAAUUGGAGGGCAAGUCUGGUGCCAGCAGCCGCGGUAAUUCCAGCUCCAAUAGCGUAUAUUAAAGUUGUUGCAGUUAAAAAGCUCGUAGUUGAAACUUGGGUCUGGCUGGCAGGUCCGCCUCACCGCGUGUACUUGUCCGGCCGGGCCUUCCUUCUGGAGAACCUCAUGCCCUUCACUGGGCGUGUUGGGGACCAGGACUUUUACUUUGAAAAAAUUAGAGUGUUCAAAGCAGGCCUUUGCUCGAAUACGUUAGCAUGGAAUAAUAGAAUAGGACGUGCGGUCCUAUUUUGUUGGUUUCUAGGACCGCCGUAAUGAUUAAUAGGGACAGUCGGGGGCAUCAGUAUUCAAUUGUCAGAGGCGAAAUUCUUGGAUUUAUUGAAGACUAACUACUGCGAAAGCAUUUGCCAAGGAUGUUUUCAUUAAUCAGUGAACGAAAGUUAGGGGAUCGAAGACGAUCAGAUACCGUCGUAGUCUUAACCGUAAACUAUGCCGACUAGGGAUCGGGCGAUGUUCUUUUUCUGACUCGCUCGGCACCUUACGAGAAAUCAAAGUU